rnacentral:rRNA from 1 species
AAUAGAUACCCAGGUAGUCCACGCCGUAAACGAUGAGUGCUAAGUGUUAGAGGGUUUCCGCCCUUUAGUGCUGGCAGCUAACGCAUUAAGCACUCCGCCUGGGGAGUACGGUCGCAAGACUGAAACUCAAAGGAAUUGACGGGGGCCCGCACAAGCGGUGGAGCAUGUGGUUUAAUUCGAAGCAACGCGAAGAACCUUACCAGGUCUUGACAUCCUCUGACAACUCUAGAGAUAGAGCGUUCCCCUUCGGGGGACAGAGUGACAGGUGGUGCAUGGUUGUCGUCAGCUCGUGUCGUGAGAUGUUGGGUUAAGUCCCGCAACGAGCGCAACCCUUGAUCUUAGUUGCCAGCAUUUAGUUGGGCACUCUAAGGUGACUGCCGGUGACAAACCGGAGGAAGGUGGGGAUGACGUCAAAUCAUCAUGCCCCUUAUGACCUGGGCUACACACGUGCUACAAUGGAUGGUACAAAGGGCUGCAAGACCGCGAGGUCAAGCCAAUCCCAUAAACCAUUCUCAGUUCGGAUCGUAGG